GAUGUGGCCGCCAGCCCUACUCCUCCCCCUCGCAUCUCUAAUCUCUCGAGCGUCGCCGCUAGCCACCCAAGCCCCCUCCCCUCCCAUCGGCCACCAUCCCCGCCCCUCUUCUUCUUCUCCUCAUCGGCUUCCUCUCGCCCCUCCCUGGCAGUCUUCUUUCUCUUGCAUCUCCGGGAGGGGCGCAGGAGGAGUGGCGGGCCUCUUCUUGCCCCGCCGUAGUUCGUCAGGUGUUGUCCCUUUCGUUUCCGUAUGCCUUUCCUGAUUAAGAUGUGCGUUGUCUCCUGAUUCCAUCGGUGCAGCAAGCAGCUAGAAAGGGGGGAGAUCUUCCCUGGGAAGAUGCAUAUGUCAUUGCCAUUCCAUCAGGAGGAGAGCACCAUCAUCCAGCCGCCCAGGUUGCUCUCUCUCUCUGAUGUCGACUUGGUUUCCUCAUUUUUUAUAGAGUGUAAGUGGCCUCUACACUUGAGUCCAAGAAGGCUGACAGGGGAGGAUUUACUGUUGGCUGGGAGAGAUCAUCUGAUAUUUUCACACCACAUCUUCACAAGAUUGCAAGUGGCACACCGUUUUUUUGUUUAAUCUUGCUACUUCUUGAGCAUUCUGCCAUGUUUGUUCUUUUAGAGAACUUAUGAUUAUCAUGUCACAUCUAUGCUCUUGCUGGAAUGAUAUGUGGAGUUUGAAUUAGUAUACUUGCAUAGUUCAUUCAGUGUUAAAGUUAUAUCUACAGUCUCAAGAUUCAUUAAGGUUAACAUUCUCAGUGUCUGUCGCAUCACCUACUGGUAGUUGUUCCUAUUGUUGGCGUACUCUCAGAUAUAGAAAGGAUUUAAAGUUGUUCUCAACAUCCACAAGGUCAAUGACAUUUUCGAUGUAUCCCUGGAGAUGUUCCUCAAGAUGAUAUACAUGGGGAGGUGGACCUGGAGCAGACGCUGCCAAGGGAGCGGCUGAUGGAGGCAGUCUGGGAUCUGCAAGCUUUAAAUCAUGUGGCAUCAACAUUUGUUUGUUUAUACAACCCAUUAUAGAUUGAUAGUUGCUACCUUUUAGUAAACUAUGAAAAUUUGGUCAGCUUUAAUAGAAGCCACUUUGUUCAAUAGUGUCAUCGUACCACUGUGAUAUCUACUAAAAAAUACUUUCUGUUAUUUCUUAUGAUCGUUCAGUAAAGAAAGGAGAGUUUGAAUUGAUAUAAGUUGGAUGAGAUUAUGAUCCAGGUCAAAGGUUCUGUUAUUGACUAUAUAUGAUACAUGUGUUUAGUUGGUCCAUUAGUUGUCCUCCCGGUUGCCAUUGAAUAUAAUUUUGUUUUGUUUUUCUUUUGCUCAUGCCUAUUGCUCAAGCAUGAGUGAUAUCUUUGUGAUUCACUUCAGUUACAUUGAUUUUAAUGCAUGCCUUCCUUUUUAUUGUUAGUAAUGCAAGCUAUACUUGAAUUAAGUGAAAAAUAAUUCUCGAGCACUUUCUUCCAUUGUGUACGUGGAUUCUUUAUUGUCAUUGAUUAACAAAGGGAAAAUCAAAUGCAAUAGAUGUUUAGAAAAUAAUUUUCAGAGUAGGAUUUUUUUAGUACUGUAUGCUUUGCUUAUCAAAUUGCAAUUGUUUAUGGUGCCUUUUUAUAAUACAUGUUUCUGAAAUCUGAUCUCUUUGUGCUGAAUUAGUUGUUGUGGUCACAAGUUAAUCUUUUUGCAUGUCUUCACUGAAGGAGGCUUGCGGGUUUAUCUUAAGCAUCUUAUCUUCAACAAUGGCCAACAUUAACUAUUCAGUUAGGCACCCAGUAGGGGUUUACCUAUCGUUGUAUCAAAGAGCUUACUAUUUCCAUUUGCUCAGCAAAGUUUUAAGAUAUUCCAUCAUAAUUAUCUAAUUGUAAUGCUUUUAUGAUGCAGGACUAAUAUCUUGUGAUGUGGCUUCCUUGUAUCCCAUUUGCCCUGCUGCUCCUGAAAGAGAUACCAUUUUGUUGGUGUUUACUGGUUAAUCCUUUUGCAUAUGUUUACGGAUGGAUACCAUUUUGUUGGUGUUUACUGGUUAAUCCUUUUUGGAUGUGCGCGAGUUGGUGUUCAUGUCCCUCAAGAAGAUACAUAAAACAAAGAGCACACACCUGGUCUUUGCAUGGCUAGGUUGCACAUAUUGAACACCAACUCGCGCACAUCCAAAAACACGCCAGCAACUAGCAAAGUCUUGCAACACCAAAAUUGUGUGUAGGCGAGAAAUAAAUGAAAAGCUCCAAAGCGAUUAGAUCUACUGGAAAAUAAUUGAAUCGGGCUUCCGCCAACAGUCCUGGAACGGAUGGACUACAUCGAAAAGAAAACACGCGGUUUCGAUUUUGCGUGUAGAGUUUUAGUAUUUUUUUUGGGUGUGUCUAGGGCACAUCUAGAUGUGCUCUAAUUAUUGCACAUCUAAGUGAGUGACUCAAGCAUAAAAAAGAAAAGAAACAGGAAAAAGAAAA